rnacentral:lncRNA from 10 species
GCCGAGACGAGAUCAUGCCACUGCACUCCAGCCUGGGCGACAGAGCGAGACUCUUUCAAAAAAAAUAAAACCUCUCUCUCUCUCUCUCUCUCUCACACACACACACACACACACACAUUAAGCCAGUAUGUGAUGAAUGCUGGGGUCACGCAGUGCCUGCAACGGCCCCCUGAGCCAGCCUGCUUGGCUUCCCUGGACUCUCCUGCUAUCCUCCUCCUCAGCCCUUGCCUGGACACCAUCAGGCUAUUUCCAAGCUUCAGGCCCACGUCAAGGGGCCAGGAGGUUGCCUGGGCAGAUCCCCCGGGGGCUGCUUAUCCUACUUAGGGAGGUAGCCACCGGGGCUCUCAUCCCACGAUCAGACUCGACUGCACCCUGAGUUGGGAGUCCCUCUUGCCAUGUGACCCAGUUGGCCUCCUUCCACCUUGGAUGCAGCCAUGGCUCCUAUUUGCUGCCACACCCUCCAGGCUCCUGGGGGGUCCCUCUGUACACUGGUUCCCUCAGCCACGAGCAUGGUGCUGAGUGACUCUGGGUUCAAGGAGAGAGGAUCCCACUGUGUGCCCCCAACAAGACAGGACUGAGGGCCUCAGCCACCCUCAGCCAACAGCUCCUAGAGACAUUGCGGGCGCCAGUCCCUCAUGCCAUCUCCCCAACUGGCGUGGCUCCCGGGGGCUGGGGCUGGGUCCAGGAGUCACCUUGGCUGCCCUGCCUGGCUGCUCUUCACCUGGGCCAACAAAUAAGGAUGCUUUCCCAGAUCUCUCCGGCAUGGGCUCCCGAGCUGAAGAGCCUGAGGGAUAACCCUCCACCCUCCACCUCCUUGGCUAAACAAUGAUUUUCUCGCACACCUAAGACAGCCAACUGCAGCCACUCUGCCAGGACUAACACUAGAAUCAGAGGAAUGGCUUUUGGUACAGAUGAUGGGCGAUGAGGCAGAGAUUCAGGAGGAUGUUCCAGAUGGCGGGAGAUAAGCAGGCCCACAUACCUCAGCCCCUUCUCCGGCUGCUCAGAGCUCCUUGGGGUGAAAGCGCCCCAGGAACACUUCACCAGGGCCUUCAGGUCAUUCCUUGGAGCUUCAGCCCAACCGGCCUCUCAAAACCCCAAGAAGAAACAUCUGGAUGUGAGUCAUUGUGAAUACCAGGCCUCACUUCUCACCAAUGGUCAUCGGGGAGCCGGGGGACUAUGCGGGCUAUUUUCUUCUUUUUACCUAUCUGUAGCUCAACUUCUCUAUAAAGAACAUCAACUGUUUUAUAACCAGAGGAAAAAGAAACAUCCUCUGCCAUUGAAGAAUUGAGUUCUUCAUGAAGGACGCUGAGGCCCAACCCCCGCCCUCUGUGCUCCUGGCUCACAGGCUCGCUCCCUCCAGACUGGCUCUUGCCUCCUCCCCUCUCCUCCUUCUCUCCUUCCUCCUCUCCUUCCCCCUCUCCUCCUAGCCUCCCCUCCUCCUGCCCUCCCCUCCUCUCCUCACCCUCCUCUCCCCCUCUCCACCCCAUCCCCAUCCUCCAAUCCUCCCCUCCUCACCCCCCCACCUCCUCUCCGCUUCCUCUGGUCCUCCCCUCCCCUCCCCUCCUCCUGCCCUCCUUCCUUCUCCCCUUCACACCCCCCUCCUCCCCUCCCCUCCUCUCACCUGCUCUCACCACUGCACUUGGCCCUGCAACCCUGCCCAGUCCAUUGUCCUGGCCUCCAGCUGCCUCGUGGUCCAGCCCUGCAACACUUCACCAUCUGCCCUCACUUUCCCGGCUCCCUGGGAACAGGGGUGCAUUUGACAACCUCUACAAAUCUGGGAAAUGGCCCACAGUGCCAGGGCAAAGCCGUGCAGAAGGCCCAGGGAGGAUGGAAGGACAGCAACCCCUGUCCCCUAGAGCUCUCUCAGCCCCCUCUGCUCUCACCUCCACUCUCCCUCCUCUGCCCCAGGCCCUGCUGUCCCUGGGGUGGCCUCAUCAUCUCCUCCUGGACUCUGCGGGGCUGCCCUCUGGGCUCCCCUCCACCUGCUCCAGGGAGAUGCCUGUCCUGACGCACACACUUUCUGUACUGCUGUGAAGGGAAUUCCUGGGCUGUGUGCAGAGCCCUCCCCCUGGGCUCAGCCUGCUCUGUGGCCCCUUCCCAUGCAUCCUUAAGCCCCCUGACCCAAACCCAUCCCCCUCCAGCAGCACAAUGUGCCCUAAGGCCUUGGUGUCACAGCACACACUGUCACCUUAGUCCAAAGUGCCCCAAGGCAGCUGUGGAUCAUGAGGCUCCUAUUUCAAACCCAGAGCUUCAUCCCCUGGCCAAAGUCCAGCAUCCUGGUUGGUUCCUCAGGGCCAAUCCCGAAUGCCACUGCCUCCUGCUCUGCUGGCAGGUUCUCACCCCUCCUGUGCCGCAACGCCAUCCCCGGUCCGAGGCCCCUGUAGGUGCUCUUGCUUCAUUACAGUUUGCUCCACAUGUCUGUCCCCAGAGGGCUGAAAACCCCUGGGAGAGCCACAGCCCUUUAUCUUGGGGUCUUCUGCAGAUCUAGAAGAGUCUCCAAAAGUAUCUCCAGUGUGUUCCUAACUGGGGCUGGGAACAGAGACCACAGGGCCCUGCUGGAACCGCAGUGAGAGCCCACACCUGCUGAGCACGAAGUGAGAGUCAGGAGCUAUGCCGAGGGCUCACAUGCACGAGCCCCACUUGACUACUGCCAUGAACCUGCCCGCCUCGGCCCCCCAAAGUGCUGGGAUUACAGGCGUGAGCCACCAUGCCCGGCUGAGUCCGGAGUUCUUGAAGAGCUCGCAACACCACCCUUGUUUUGACGGGCUGCGUGAUCACAGGACUGCAUCUCUGGAUUUCGAUAACCAUACAUGAAUUGAGCUGAAGGUGUUUUGGUCAAUGGAGACCUCUGUGCCUCCAGAGCUUAUAAAUCAGAGCCCUGUGGUCUAACAGCCAUGAUGUUCCCCAAUCAUGUUACUGCAAUAUUAAUAAGGCUGUUUAAUGCAACCAGUUCCUUCUAAAUUGUCACAUAAAAAUUUGGUAAAUGUCAGACAUAUCAUUUCAUAGAAAAUAAUGUUUUACUGCCAGGGGAGCUAGGUGGCUGAGAAGAUGAGUGCAAAGCCUGGCGACAACCUUUGGCAGGUUUGAGGGACAAAGCGCUGCCAGCCUGGGGCUCCCGCCUUGGCCCUUCUUUCUUGCAGUCAGCAGCCACCCCGAGUCCCCAUGUGCAGGGGCCCUGGGUGAGGAGUCCUGGGGAGGGGAGGGGCUAGAAGAAACAGCCCUUCCUGUCCUCACGCAGCAUACAAUCCUGUUGCAGCAAGAGAGACUACCAGGUUUUCUCAGUCACUGGUCACUCCUCAGGAUGCCCCUUGUCAUAAAAGAUCAUUACCCCCAUUUUAGGAAACCCAGGCAGCCCCCAGGAACAUUGGCCCACACAGGAGAAACUUGACGUUUACAAAGGGAUGAGUUCGGCUGGGAGCAAUGGCUCAUGCCUGUAAUCCCAGCAAUUUGGGAGGCUGAGGCAGGUGGAUCACCUGAGGUUGGGAGUUCGAGACCAGCCUGACCAACAUGGAGAAACCCCGUCUCUACUAAAAAUACAAAAAAUUAGCCAGGCAUGGUGGCGCAUGCCUGUAAUCCCAGCUACUCAGGUGGCUGAGGCAGGAGAAUCGCUUGAACCCAGAAGGCAGAGGUUGCGGUGAGCCAAGAUCACACCAUUGCACGUCAGCCUAGGCAACAAGAGCAAAAACUCCAUCUCACAAAAACGAAAAACAAUAAAACAAAGGGAUAAGUUCACAGAAGCAAAGUAGCAUCCUGUAAACUACUUAUAAAUGGGGUUGGUGUCCUGUAAAAGGGGUUGGUCCC